rnacentral:rRNA from 1 species
UACGAAGGGUGCAAGCGUUAAUCGGAAUUACUGGGCGUAAAGCGUGCGUAGGCGGUUGGCUAAGUCAGAUGUGAAAGCCCUGGGCUCAACCUGGGAAUGGCAUUUGAAACUGGCCGGCUAGAGUGUGAUAGAGGAUGGCGGAAUUCCCGGUGUAGCGGUGAAAUGCGUAGAGAUCGGGAGGAACAUCCGUGGCGAAGGCGGCCAUCUGGAUCAACACUGACGCUGAGGCACGAAAGCGUGGGGAGCAAACAGGG